rnacentral:rRNA from 1 species
UACGUAGGGUGCGAGCGUUAAUCGGAAUUACUGGGCGUAAAGCGUACGUAGGCGGUUUGUUAAGCAGGAUGUGAAAUCCCCGGGCUCAACCUGGGAACUGCAUCCUGAACUGGCAGGCUAGAGUGUAGUAGAGGAUAGUGGAAUUCCUGGUGUAGCAGUGAAAUGCGUAGAUAUCAGGAGGAACAUCGAUGGCGAAGGCAGCUAUCUGGACUGAUACUGACGCUGAGGUACGAAAGCGUGGGGAGCAAACAGG